rnacentral:misc_RNA from 1 species
CUUUUACUAGGUAUAUACGUAGGCGUGCAUAUGUUUACCAGUCUUUUUCUGUAAAUGUAUUUUGAACCUUUCUUAAAUAAUGAAAAUAACUUCAGGAACGUACAUGGAAAAACCUUUACUUUAAAGAUCUGAACUGUCGUGAAUGAUAGAUUGGUCAGUUGUUUCCUGAAUUAGACAGUCGUGUAAAAGCUUACACACACAAGUGUGCACUAAUAAGAAUUUAACAUUUUAAAAUGGCUUUAGGAUUUUUGUUGGUGACGUGUAUACUGGCGUUCGGAGCAUACUGGGGUACAACAUACGUUCUCAUGCCUUCAGACUUGCCGGUGAACAUUACUACUCAAACUACUCCUGUGCAACAUACUAUUUCUACAACUACUACUAUCAGUACUACUACGACAACAGAAUCAAGCGUUAUUUUAGAUGUCAGCGCUACUGAAGAACUAUCUCCUACAACCACGUUUCCCUAAUUAUCUGAAAUAAACAAUCAAAUGUUCAUCAAAUUAAAGUCGAUUUUGUUUGCCAUUAAGCUAAUUUUGUCCCUUUUUUAUGAUAGAAGACAACUCUAUCUACCAUGUAGACGUUUGGAGGUCUGUAGAAGUAUAGUGUAUAAUACAAAAUUUGAAUACUCUUCUAGAUUAACUUUUUUUUUCAAAUUAAUAAAAGUUAAGCAAGUUUAAAUU